GACGAACGCUGGCGGCGUGCCUAAUACAUGCAAGUCGAACGCAGUGGGGACGGGUGAGUAACCCGUGGGUAACCUCCCAUCAGAGGGGAUAACACUUGGAAACAGGUUCUCAACCGGUACUGAUGGAUGGACCCGCGGUGCAUUAGCUAGUUGGUGAGGUAACGGCUCACCAAGGCCACGAUGCAUACCCGACCGGAGAGGGCGAUCGGCCACCCUGGUAAUGAGACACGGCCCAGAUUCCUUCGUGAGGCAGCAGUAGGGAAGCUACGGCAAUGGACGAAAGUCUGACCGGGCAACGCCGCGUGAGUGAAGAAGGUUUUCUGAUCGUAAAACUAUGUUGUUAGAGAAGCGGUAUCUAACCAGAAGGCCACGGCUAACUACGUGCCAGCAGCCGCGGUAAUUC
rnacentral:rRNA from 1 species